CCUACGGGUGGCUGCAGUGGGGAAUAUUGGACAAUGGGCGAAAGCCUGAUCCAGCCAUGCCGCGUGUGUGAAGAAGGCCUUCGGGUUGUAAAGCACUUUCAGUGGGGAAGAAAGCCUUGGGGCUAAUACCCUCGAGGAAGGACAUCACCCACAGAAGAAGCACCGGCUAACUCCGUGCCAGCAGCCGAGGUAAUACGGAGGGUGCGAGCGUUAAUCGGAAUUACUGGGCGUAAAGCGCGCGUAGGCGGUCUGAUAAGCCGGUUGUGAAAGCCCCGGGCUCAACCUGGGAACGGCAUCCGGAACUGUCAGGCUAGAGUGCAGGAGAGGAAGGUAGAAUUCCCGGUGUAGCGGUGAAAUGCGUAGAGAUCGGGAGGAAUACCAGUGGCGAAGGCGGCCUUCUGGACUGACACUGACGCUGAGGUGCGAAAGCGUGGGUAGCAAACAGGAUUAGAUACCCGAGUAGUC
rnacentral:rRNA from 1 species